rnacentral:tRNA from 1 species
GCGCCUGUGGUGUAAGGCGUAGCACCGCUGCCCGUGAAGCAGAAGGUGCGGGUUCGAGUCCCGCCUGGCGCA